rnacentral:tRNA from 1 species
GGCAAGAUGGCCGAGUGGUCUAAGGCGCUGUGUUCAGGCUCACUUUAGUGAUACCUUAACAAAAAAAUCGCAGUCUCCCUGAGGCGUGGGUUCGAAUCCCACUCUUGUCA